GAUGAACGCUGGCGGCGUGCCUAAUACAUGCAAGUCGAGCGAACGGACGAGAAGCUUGCUUCUCUGAUGUUAGCGGCGGACGGGUGAGUAACACGUGGAUAACCUACCUAUAAGACUGGGAUAACUUCGGGAAACCGGAGCUAAUACCGGAUAAUAUUUUGAACCGCAUGGUUCAAAAGUGAAAGACGGUCUUGCUGUCACUUAUAGAUGGAUCCGCGCUGCUUUAGCUAGUUGGUAAGGUAACGGCUUACCAAGGCAACGAUGCAUAGCCGACCUGAGAGGGUGAUCGGCCACACUGGAACGGAGACACGGUCCAGACUCCUACGGGAGGCAGCAGUAGGGAAUCUUCCGCAAUGGGCGAAAGCCUGACGGAGCAACGCCGCGGGAGUGAUGAAGGUCUUCGGAUCGUAAAACUCUGUUAUAAGGGAAGAACAUAUGUGUAAGGAACUGUGCACAACGUGACGGUACCUAAUCAGAAAGCCACGGCUAACUACGUG
rnacentral:rRNA from 1 species